UUCCAGUGUCCCUCCAACGAACGAGCACAGCGGCGUCGUCGUGCUCUCUUUAUAUGUGUCAGGUAGUUCCGUAGGUCGUCCGGUAUUCCGUUUAGACCGAUUCCGUUGAGAUUUCCGCCCAAAAUCCCGUGUGGGCCCGCUCCUCCAUAUCAUCCCGUCAUUGAACUCUUUCCUUUCUGCUCUGCACAUCCUCUACGUGCUGGGUUUUGGUUUUUCUCCCGUCUCAGAUUAAAACAGAGCUUCGGAUCGUCGAUUGGAUCUCUACGACCUUUCUACCAGGAUCUCCGAUCGGGAAUACAAGGAUGUCUUUCCUGUGGACGUGCGCAGUGGUUUGCCACCAAUUAGAGGAAUUGAGCAUCAGAUUGACUUCAUUCCCGGGGCUACGAUUCCCAACCGUCCAGCCUAUAGGAGCAGCCCCGAGGAGACUAAGGAACUUCAAAGACAAGUUGAGGAGCUGCUUGCUAAGGGGCAUGUGAGGGAGAGCAUGAGUCCAUGUGCGGUACCCGUGCUACUGGUACCGAAGAAAGAUGGAUCAUGGAGGAUGUGCGUCGAUUGUAGAGCCAUCAAUAAAAUCACUGUAAAGUAUCGCCAUCCUAUCCCUAGACUAGAUGACAUGUUAGAUGAACUGCAUAGCUCUUGCAUCUUUUCUAAAAUUGAUUUAAAAAGUGGCUACCAUCAAAUAAGAAUGAAACCGGGUGAUGAAUAGAAAACUGCAUUUAAGACAAA